GAUGUACCAGUUAAAACAUUGUUUUGCACUUCUUGCAGGAAUGGUACGCCAGGGAUCAUUCUCAGAUAAUUUUCCUUUUUUGAUCAUUUUAAGUGUUCCUACAAUCACCGGUAUUAAAACCCAUGAGAUGUACAUUUUCCAA